rnacentral:rRNA from 1 species
AUUGAACGCUGGCGGCAUGCCUUACACAUGCAAGUCGAACGGCAGCACGGACUUCGGUCUGGUGGCGAGUGGCGAACGGGUGAGUAAUACAUCGGAACGUGCCUAGUAGUGGGGGAUAACUACUCGAAAGAGUGGCUAAUACCGCAUGAGAUCUAUGGAUGAAAGCAGGGGACCUUAGGGCCUUGUGCUACUGGAGCGGCCGAUGGCAGAUUAGGUAGUUGGUGGGAUAAAAGCUUACCAAGCCGACGAUCUGUAGCUGGUCUGAGAGGACGAUCAGCCACACUGGGACUGAGACACGGCCCAGACUCCUACGGGAGGCAGCAGUGGGGAAUUUUGGACAAUGGGCGCAAGCCUGAUCCAGCAAUGCCGCGUGCAGGAUGAAGG